GGAGGGCUCAUUUCCGCUUCUGGCCGAGGGGAGAGGAGCCGAGGCAGCCAGGAUGCUGAUCAAAGUGAAGACUCUGUCAGGGAAAGAGCUCGAGAUCAACAUCGACAAGGAACGACAAGAAGACGGUGGCCAACUACAAGAUCCAGCAUGGCUCCGUCCUCCAUCUUGUGUUGGCCCUGCGGGGGGGCGGGGCGGGGCAGUGAGGGGGCGGAGGGGGCGGGGCCUGCACCAAAAGCCGCCCCUCUCCCUCAGCCCCGCCUGUGAGGGGGUGGGGAGAGCCCAGCCCUGCCCUCCCGGUCCCGCCCCUUUCUAAAGUUUUCCUCCCUCGCAUGCUCCCCUGUUUAAUA